rnacentral:lncRNA from 1 species
AGCCCAUUACCCAGUUCCAAAGCUGCUUUCUCAUGUUUAGGUAUUGUUAAAGCUAUACCCCACUCCUCAGUACCAAUUUUCUGUCUUAUUCCAUUUUGUAUUGUUAUAAAAGAAUACCAGAGACUGAUAAUUUAUUAAGAAAAAAAGGUUUAUUUAGGCCGGGUGGGGUGGCUCAUGACAGCACGUUAGGAGGCCAAGGCUGAUGGAUCACGAGGUAAAGAGAUUGAGACUAUCCUAGCCAACAUGGUGAAACCCCGUUUCUACUAAAAAUACAAAAAUUAGCUGGGCGUGGUGGUGCACAUCUGUUAGUCCCAGCUACUCUGGAGGCUGAGGCAGGAGAAUCCCUUGAAUCGGGGAGGCGGAGGUUGCAGUGAGCCGAGAUUGCACCACUGCACUCCAGCCUGGUGACAGAGCGAGACUCCGUCUCAAAAAAAAAAAAAAGAAGAAAGAAAAAAAGGUUUAUAUAGCUCAAGAUUCUGAUGGUUGCAAAGUCCAAGAUUGGGCAUCUGCAUCUGAUGAGGGCCUCACACCUGCUUCCACUCAUGGUGGAAAGCAAAGGGGAGCUUGUGUGUGCAGAGAUCACAUGGCAAGAAAAGGAAGAGAAAGGAAGGGAGGUGCCAGGCUCUUUUUAACAACCAGCUCUCAUUGGAACAGAGAACUCACCCACAAGGGAGGGGGUUAAUCUAUCCAUGAGGGAUCUGCCCCCAUGACCCAAACACCUCUCAUUAGGUCUCACCUCCAACACUGGGGAGCAAAUUUCAACAUGAGACUUGGAGAGGUCAAACAUCCAAACCAUAGCAUAGUCCAAGUGUAAGUGCCUCAUAAAAAAAGAGUUAGGGCAUCAGCACAGUCACAGCCUUUGGAAGAACUGCUCUAAGGCAGACAGAAGCCCCAAGCUGUGUCUGCUGUGGCCUAAGAAAUGUAAGCCGUAUUUAUAGUUUCAGACAUUUUCAGACUAAUAAAACAAGUGUUUUUUGUUGCUUUGCAUACGUGAAGGGAGGGAGGAUGGAGGGCUGACUGUCUGCUACUGGCUGAUCCAGCACCUAAACUGAUCAUAUAAACGGUGAUCUCCUCUGCAGUCUGUAUUAGUCAGCUUGGGCUACCAUAAUGGGUGGCAAACAAGCAAUUUUUAUUCUCACAGUUCUGGAGGCUGGAAGUUUGAGAUCAGGGUGCCAAUAUGGUUGGGUUCUGGUGAGGGCUUGCUUCUGGCUUUCAGACAGCAAGAUGUCUUUUCUUAUAAUGACACUUAUGUUAAAUCAGGGCCCUAUCCUCAGUACCUCAUUUAACCUUAAUUACUUCCAUAAAGGCUGUAUCUCCAAAUAUAGUCACAUUGAGAGUUGGGGCUUACAGAUAUUUAUUUAUAUAAAUGUGAAAACAUAGGGCAAUGUGCCUUUGAGCAAGUACCCUAGAUGCUAAUCCUCUUUCAGUUCCAGCUAAAACACUGAAAAUAAAACCUAAGAGAAAUAACAGCUUCUAAAAUUUGGAUAAACUCAUCUUAAUUAAUCCACGCUUAAAAUAAUCUCCAUGAUUUUCACUAUUUUGUAAAAUAAUGUUUGACCUCCCAAAGCAAUGGCUUGCAUUUGAUUUUAGUGAAAGACAAAAAUACAAAAAUACAUACAUACAUACAUAUAUAUAUAGAUAUAUAUAUAGAUAUA